AACGAACGCUGGCGGCAUGCCUAACACAUGCAAGUCGAACGAGACCUUCGGGUCUAGUGGCGCACGGGUGCGUAACGCGUGGGAACCUGCCCUUAGGUUCGGAAUAACUCCCCGAAAGGGGUGCUAAUACCGGAUAAUGUCUUCGGACCAAAGGUUUAUCGCCUUUGGGUGGGCCCGCGUUGGAUUAGCUAGUUGGUAGGGUAAAAGCCUACCAAGGCGACGAUCCAUAGCUGGUCUGAGGGGAUGGUCAGCCACACUGGGACCGAAACCAGGCCCAGACCCCCUCGGGAGGGAAGAGGGGGAGAAUAUUGAACAGGGGGAGAAGGCUUAACCAACCAUGGCGGGGUAAGUAUGGAGGUCUUUAGGGUAGAAAACUUUUUUUCCCGGGGAAUAAAAGGAGGGUACCGGAAAAAAAACCCCGGGCUAACCCCGUG
rnacentral:rRNA from 1 species